CCGAGUUUACAACUCCCAAACCCCUGCGAACAUACCUAUAUGUUGCCUCGGCGGAUCAGCCCGCGCCCCGUAAAACGGGACGGCCCGCCGCAGGAUCCACAAACUCUGUUUUUAUUGUAACUUCUGAGUAACAAACAAAUAAAUCA
rnacentral:misc_RNA from 1 species